ACUCUUUUAGUAUAAUUUCAAUACAAUUGCCUUCCAAGCAAAAAAUUUAUCUAAAUAAAAAGAGUA
rnacentral:tRNA from 1 species